CCCACCGGUUUUUCAGUAGGUGGACCUGCGGAGGAUCAUUACCGAGUGAGGGCCCUCUGGGUCCAACCUCCCACCCGUGUUUAUUUUACCUUGUUGCUUCGGCGGGCCCGCCUUAACUGGCCGCCGGGGGGCUCACGCCCCCGGGCCCGCGCCCGCCGAAGACACCCUCGAACUCUGUCUGAAGAUUGAAGUCUGAGUGAAAAUAUAAAUUAUUUAAAACUUUCAACAACGGAUCUCUUGGUUCCGGCAUCGAUGAAGAACGCAGCGAAAUGCGAUACGUAAUGUGAAUUGCAAAUUCAGUGAAUCAUCGAGUCUUUGAACGCACAUUGCGCCCCCUGGUAUUCCGGGGGGCAUGCCUGUCCGAGCGUCAUUGCUGCCCUCAAGCCCGGCUUGUGUGUUGGGCCCCGUCCUCCGAUUUCCGGGGGACGGGCCCGAAAGGCAGCGGCGGCACCGCGUCCGGUCCUCGAGCGUAUGGGGCUUUGUCACCCGCUCUGUAGGCCCGGCCGGCGCUUGCCGAUCAACCCAAAUUUUUAUCCAGGUUGACCUCGGAUCAGGUAGGGAUACCCGCUGAACUUAAGCAUAUCAAUAAGCGGAGGAA
rnacentral:rRNA from 1 species